rnacentral:ncRNA from 2 species
AAUAGUGAACUGGGGUGCCGAAAGCGGGUCCGUUCGCCUCGGCUGAGAACAUACCCAUAGAACCUGAUCUGGAUCAUGCCAGCGAAGGGAGAGUCACCAUCGCGCGCU